UGCUGGGAAAGAUUGAAGGCGGGAGGAGAAGGGGACAAUAGAGGAUGAGAUGGUUGGAUGGCAUCAGUGACUCAAUGGACCCCAUGACUCAAUGGACAUGAGUUUGAGCAAGCUCUGGGGGUUGGUGAUAGACAGGAAACCUGGCAUGCUGCAGUCCAUGGGGUCACAAAGAGUCGGACAUGACUGAGCGACUGAACUGACUGAACUGAUGGAGUGGAGGUGUCCCCUCUGACCUUUCUACCCCUCUUUUGUUCUUCAACAGAAAGAUUCCACUAAGGCAGCUGGGAAGAUUACACAAAGCAGAGUUGACUUGAGUUUCCAGUCUGGCAUCUGUGCUUCCCAAAGAGUCAUCCUUAUGUCAUCUGGUCCUCUGCCCUUUUGAAACCAGAUCUCAGGGUCAAAAGAAGUCUGAUAUCAUUCAGAUUCUCCCUGUCAUGAGACUGAUGCCAACUCAGUCACCUCAAGCAGGUGAGACACUCUUUAACAGCAUCUCCAGGGGAGGGCAGUGCACCUCAGCCUUUGUAACUUA
rnacentral:lncRNA from 1 species